AUGUGUGUAACUCCUCCUCCCUGUCUCUCUUCCUUCUGCUCCAGCCCAUGUGAGACGUACCUGGUUCCUCUUCACCCUCCGCCAUGUCUGACUGCGAGCAGAGCCCACUACCACUUGGCUGCAGUAGAGUCUGGUUUGACUGUGAGCUCCAGGAAGGCUCCAAGGUGUGGAUUGGGGGAGGACUGGAAUCAGGCCCAGACAGCCCCAUGGCUCCUCUGUCUCUUGGCCUCACUGCAAGGUUGGUCUUUUGGUAGCACCCCAGGAAUACCUGGGAGCUGGGAUGUUUUGGGAGCAAGGUGAAGCCUAAUUUCUCUUCCACCUUCCCAUCCUUCUCAGAUCCUUUCUGUCCUAACCUCUCCUCUUAGGGGGACUGAGUGGAAAUACCAGCCACCCGGUGUGCUGGGCCAGAGCUACACGGCACCCUGGGUUUUUCUCUUCCAACCCCAUGCCAUCCCACCUACAGGUCCUGUUUGCUUUUCCUCUCAAACAUUUCCAGAGCCCAAGCCCUUCUUACUAUUUCCCUGCAGCAAUUGUGGUCUGCAUCCCCCCAUCCUUUCCACCUGGCAUUGGGUAAAGGGUGAAACCUCCUAAGUGCUGGCCCCACCCCACAGCUUAGCCCCCAGACAGCAGAGGCAGUGGCUGGGCUGCAGCUGCUCCAACCCUGAUCCUCCUCCAGCACAGCCUGCUCCCGAGCCAGGUGUGGGUGUCUGGCUCUGUGACAGAGGGCCUGGCUUCUGCAGGAUGCCCACACUACCACGUUCAGAGGCAGCAAGGACUGCCAUGGGCCCAGCCCAUCCUUGUGGGCUCCAGCCUGUGCCUGGGUUCCUCACUAUAACCCACCUGCCACACUCCACCUGACAUCACCGUCCCUUUCCCACGGUCUCCCUUGUGGACUUCAAGCUCCUCAGGGAGAUGGCUUAACCAGCUCCUCAAUUGUGGUGUGACAUCAAAUCUCUGUCGAAAACUCCCUUCAUAUGUGUGCCUGUGUAUGGUACAUGUAUGCAUGCAUAUGCAUGUGUAUGAAUAUUUAUGCAAUUGUAUCUACAUGUAAUAUGUAUGCAUGUGUAUGUUUGUACCUAUACAUGCAUUUGUCGAUGUGUAUAUGCAUGUGUACAUGUAUAUGUGCAUGCAUAUGUGUGUAUAUGUAAAAGU
rnacentral:lncRNA from 1 species